rnacentral:rRNA from 1 species
GAUGAACGCUGGCGGCGUGCUUAACACAUGCAAGUCGAACGAAGCACCUCUCCCGAAGAUUGACACAGCUUGCUGGAGAUUGAUUCAUUUGAGGUGACUGAGUGGCGGACGGGUGAGUAACGCGUGGGUAACCUGCCUCAUGGAGGGGGACAACAGUUGGACACGACUGCUAAUACCGCAUAGUAAGAAGAAUUCGCAUGUUUUCUUCUUGAAAGAUUUAUCGCUAUGAGAUGGACCCGCGUCUGAUUAGCUAGUUGGUAAGGUAACGGCUUACCAAGGCGACGAUCAGGAGCCGGGUUGAGAGAGUGAACGGCCACAUUGGGACUGAGACACGGCCCCAACUCCUACGGGAGGCAGCAGUGGGGAAUAUUGCACAAUGGGGGAAACCCUGAUGCAGCGACGCCGCGUGAGUGAAGAAGUAUUUCGGUAUGUAAAGCUCUAUCAGCAGGGAAGAUAAUGACGGUACCUGACUAAGAAGCCCCGGCUAACUACGUG